rnacentral:lncRNA from 1 species
UUCUUUAUCUCAUGCACAAAGUACAAGUAAUUUCUCCUAUGUUGUCCUUGGUGUCGGUGUUCGUUGGCUUCUUAAGAGAAUGAGUAAUAAAAUCGGCUCCUCGGUCC